ACACAUGUCAUACAAUUUGAAUCAAAAGCCACAGAUAUAUAGAAUUCUAUAUAUCUGUGUCAAAAGCACGGUUUAAGAUCUAUCUUAAACCGUGAUCAAAAGUCAUAUCAAUAUUGUGAUCUGCGACUGUUUCCGCAAUAUCGCAUGUAGUGCUCACUGCUCAUGUCGGUUAAAAAUUUGAAAUUUGAAUGAAAACGUUGAAAACUAAAUAGUGAUUUGCACCCGUUUAUACCUAUUAUAGCCUGUAGGUUAUAUUUACAUUUUACCUACGUGUAGUGUUUUAUGGUUUUUCAAUUUUUAACUUUUUUCACAAAACAAAAUUCUACAGACUACAUUUCUAUUUAAAUUUUUUUACCUUGUACCUGUAGUUUGCAUGUCGUGGUGUUUUUUUUUAUUUUAGUAAAAUGUUGUCUAAAGUCUUGGCAUUUUAUAUUUUUAUUACAAUGUUAAAAGUCCAGCAUUCGAUGUAUUACAAACACUAUUGUACUGAUUUUGAAUUAUUAUGCUGUAUGCUCACAUAAUUGAGUUUCUUAUGGCAAUCGCCAUAUGGAGAUAUCAUUGCCUCUAUUGCCAUAAGACAUAAGAAUGAAUAUAUUUUUAAAGCCAAUUAUACUGCCUCAUUCUCAUCCCCUGCUUACAUUACAGAUAUAUCAGUUAAAACUUCAGUUUCAUAACUUACACACAGGAAACACAAUUUUAAAUUCUGAGUGCAGAAGAAUUCUUCAAUUGUGUCAUACAAUGGAUUUGCUGAGCCUGCAUGUUUUAGGAAACAUUCAAUGUUUGAAUCAUUUGGAACAAAUUUUAAUUUACGCUCAAACUAUUUACACAUAAAUCUGAUGUUAUGGCAUUUAUUAUUAUUUAUUACAAUAAACUAGUUGCUCACUGUGGAUUUAGCAAUCAGUUGAUCAAAGUAUUAAACCAAAUUAGCAUUGAUUAUGGAACAUUUGACAUUUUCUCUGAUGAAGAAGUUCGACGAGGAUUAAAAGUUUAUUUUGAUUGGCCAAUAUACUCACAUGCUUAUGUUAAAGAUCAUUGAUUGGAGUUUUGGAUUUAAUUAAAGAAGUGAAAGAAGACGGAGAUUUAAUUUCUACUCUAAAAGGUGAAGUAUAGGAAAAUAAAACGUGGUUUGGUUACUUUUUUAUUCAAUUGAUUAUUUUAUUGAUUUAGUUUAAUUAAAUUUUUUCAUAGAAAUAUCAAAAUCCAUAGAAAUACAGCUCUAAGGAAAAUAUUAUAACAGUAUUUAAAAUAUUUACAAAAUUAUAUCAUGUGUAUUUACUAAGUCAUUUAAUGCCAAAUUAGAACUAUUUAUUUAUUACUAAUAUUAAUAUUAGUUGACAAUAUAUUUUUUAUCCAACCCAAUUUUUAUAUGCAUGUUAUUUAUUAAUUGUUUAUGUAGCUUCACUUCUUGAACAAAUAUUUACAGAAAAUAAAAUAAUACAUAUAUUAUUGUAAAAUCAAUCAUAAUUGGGCCAGUCCUCUGAUACAAAAUAGAAAGGUAGGUACUUAUUAAAAAACCUAAAAAAAUUUUUAUAGUAAUAUAGGUAGCUGACUGGCAGACCGUUUUCACUCAAAAUCAUUUUUUGUAUGCAAUGAUUUAUCAUUGAAUUCAAAUUUAAUACAUACAUACAGUGCAGUGACUUACACCUAACUGUGAUGUGCAGAAGUACAGUAGGUACCUACACCAGGUUACUUACCAUUAUUAAGUCUUCUUUAAGGCACCAUAAACUAAACAACAUGCAUGAAUUCUUUGCACCUACAACUAAAACUUUCAAUAAACUUUUCAAAUUUUUAAACUAAAUUUAACAUAAUUUUAAACAAUGUAAAUAGUAUAAUUGUAUUGGCUUAUAACCUCAUUGUUAGAUACUAAAAAAUAAAAAUACAUUAAAUCGCUUUCAUAGAUAAACUAGAGGUAGGUACCUA